CCUACGGGAGGCAGCAGUAGGGAAUAUUGCUCAAUGGGGGAAACCCUGAAGCAGCGACGCCGCGUGGGGGAUGAAGGUUUUCGGAUUGUAAACCCCUUUUGUUAGAGAAGAUAAUUACGGUAUCUAACCAAUAAUCACUGGCUAAUUCCGUGCAAGCAGCCGCGGGAAUACGGAGGGUGCGAGCGUUACUCGGAAUCGAUGGUCGUAAAGCUCGCGUAGGCGGGAUAGCAAGUCAGAGGUGAAAUCCUAGGGCUUAACCAUAGAACUGCAUUUGAAACUGUGAUUCUAGAGUAUGGGAGAGGUAGGUGGAAUUCUUGGUGUAGGAGUGAAAUCCGUAGAUAUCAAGAGGAAGACUGAUUGCGAAGGCGACCUGCUAGAACAUAACUGACGCUGAUGCGCGAAAGCGUGGGGAGCAAACAGGAUUAGAUACCCCAGUAGUC
rnacentral:rRNA from 1 species